UGCAGUCGAACGAGCUUCCGUUGAAUGACGUGCUUGCACUGAUUUCAACAAUGAAGCGAGUGGCGAACUGGUGAGUAACACGUGGGUAACUUGCCCAGAAGCAGGGGAUAACACUUGGAAACAGGUGCUAAUACCGUAUAACAACAGAAACCGCAUGGUUUCUGUUUGAAAGGUGGUUUCGGCUAUCACUUCUGGAUGGACCCGCGGCGUAUUAGUUAGUUGGUGAGGUAAAGGCCCACCAAGACAAUGAUACGUAGCCGACCUGAGAGGGUAAUCGGCCACAUUGGGACUGAGACACGGCCCAAACUCCUACGGGAGGCAGCAGUAGGGAAUCUUCCACAAUGGACGAAAGUCUGAUGGAGCAAUGCCGCGUGAGUGAAGAAGGGUUUCGGCUCGUAAAACUCUGUUGUUAAAGAAGAACACUCUUGAGAGUAACUGUUCAGGAGUUGACGGUAUUUAACCAGAAAGCCACGGCUAACUACGUGCCAGCAGCCGCGGUAAUACGUAGGUGGCAAGCGUUGUCCGGAUUUAUUGGGCGUAAAGCGAGCGCAGGCGGUUUCUUAAGUCUGAUGUGAAAGCCUUCGGCUUAACCGGAGAAGUGCAUCGGAAACUGGGAGACUUGAGUGCAGAAGAGGACAGUGGAACUCCAUGUGUAGCGGUGGAAUGCGUAGAUAUAUGGAAGAACACCAGUGGCGAAGGCGGCUGUCUAGUCUGUAACUGACGCUGAGGCUCGAAAGCAUGGGUAGCAAACAGGAUUAGAUACCCUGGUAGUCCAUGCCGUAAACGAUGAGUGCUAGGUGUUGGAGGGUUUCCGCCCUUCAGUGCCGCAGCUAACGCAUUAAGCACUCCGCCUGGGGAGUACGACCGCAAGGUUGAAACUCAAAGGAAUUGACGGGGGCCCGCACAAGCGGUGGAGCAUGUGGUUUAAUUCGAAGCUACGCGAAGAACCUUACCAGGUCUUGACAUACUAUGCAAAUCCUAGAGAUAGGACGUUCCCUUCGGGGACAUGGAUACAGGUGGUGCAUGGNNGUCGUCAGCUCGUGUCGUGAGAUGUUGGGUUAAGUCCCGCANGAGCGCANCCNUAUNAUCA
rnacentral:rRNA from 1 species